UACGGGGGGGGCAAGCGUUGUUCGGAAUUACUGGGCGUAAAGCGUGCGCAGGCGGUUUUGUAAGCCAGAUGUGAAAUCCCCGGGCUUAACCUGGGAAUGGCAUUUGGGACUGCAAGGCUUGAGUGCGGCAGAGGAGACUGGAAUUCCUGGUGUAGCAGUGAAAUGCGUAGAUAUCAGGAGGAAUACCGAUGGCGAAGGCAGGUCUCUGGGCUGACACUGACGCUCAUGCACGAAAGCGUGGGGAGCAAACAGG
rnacentral:rRNA from 1 species